rnacentral:rRNA from 1 species
AGUGAACGCUGGCGGUAGGCCUAACACAUGCAAGUCGAACGGCAGCACAGUAAGAGCUUGCUCUUACGGGUGGCGAGUGGCGGACGGGUGAGGAAUACAUCGGAAUCUACUUUUUCGUGGGGGAUAACGUAGGGAAACUUACGCUAAUACCGCAUACGACCUACGGGUGAAAGCAGGGGAUCUUCGGACCUUGCGCGAUUGAAUGAGCCGAUGUCGGAUUAGCUAGUUGGCGGGGUAAAGGCCCACCAAGGCGACGAUCCGUAGCUGGUCUGAGAGGAUGACCAGCCACACUGGAACUGAGACACGGUCCAGACUCCUACGGGAGGCAGCAGUGGGGAAUAUUGGACAAUGGGCGCAAGCCUGAUCCAGCCAUACCGCGUGGGUGAAGAAGGCCUUCGGGUUGUAAAGCCCUUUUGUUGGGAAAGAAAAGCAGCAGGUUAAUACCCCGCUGUUCUGACGGUACCCAAAGAAUAAACACCGGCUAACUUCGU